rnacentral:rRNA from 2 species
CAUUACCGAGUGUAGGGUUCCUAGCGAGCCCAACCUCCCACCCGUGUUUACUGUACCUUAGUUGCUUCGGCGGGCCCGCCAUUCAUGGCCGCCGGGGGCUCUCAGCCCCGGGCCCGCGCCCGCCGGAGACACCACGAACUCUGUCUGAUCUAGUGAAGUCUGAGUUGAUUGUAUCGCAAUCAGUUAAAACUUUCAACAAUGGAUCUCUUGGUUCCGGCAUCGAUGAAGAACGCAGCGAAAUGCGAUAACUAGUGUGAAUUGCAGAAUUCCGUGAAUCAUCGAGUCUUUGAACGCACAUUGCGCCCCCUGGUAUUCCGGGGGGCAUGCCUGUCCGAGCGUCAUUGCUGCCCAUCAAGCACGGCUUGUGUGUUGGGUCGUCGUCCCCUCUCCGGGGGGGACGGGCCCCAAAGGCAGCGGCGGCACCGCGUCCGAUCCUCGAGCGUAUGGGGCUUUGUCACCCGCUCUGUAGGCCCGGCCGGCGCUUGCCGAACGCAAAUCAAUCUUUUCCAGGUUGACCUCGGAUCAGGUAGGGAUACCCGCUGAACUUAAGCAUAUCAAUAAGCGGAGGAA